GACGAACGCUGGCGGCGUGCCUAAUACAUGCAAGUUGAGCGCUGAAGGUUGGUACUUGUACCAACUGGAUGAGCAGCGAACGGGUGAGUAACGCGUGGGGAAUCUGCCUUUGAGCGGGGGACAACAUUUGGAAACGAAUGCUAAUACCGCAUACAAACUUUAAACACAAGUUUUAAGUUUGAAAGAUGCAAUUGCAUCACUCAAAGAUGAUCCCGCGUUGUAUUAGCUAGUUGGUGAGGUAAAGGCUCACCAAGGCGAUGAUACAUAGCCGACCUGAGAGGGUGGUCGGCCACAUUGGGACUGAGACACGGCCCAAACUCCUACGGGAGGCAGCAGUAGGGAAUCUUCGGCAAUGGACGAAAGUCUGACCGAGCAACGCCGCGUGAGUGAAGAAGGUUUUCGGAUCGUAAAACUCUGUUGGUAGAGAAGAACGUUGGUGAGAGUGGAAAGCUCAUCAAGUGACGGUAACUACCCAGAAAGGGACGGCUAACUACGUG
rnacentral:rRNA from 1 species